rnacentral:rRNA from 1 species
AACCUCCGCAAUGUGAGAAAUCGCGACGGGGGGAUCCCAAGUGCCAUUCUUAACGGGAUGGCUUUUCUUAAGUGUAAAAAGCUUUUGGAAUAAGAGCUGGGCAAGACCGGUGCCAGCCGCCGCGGUAACACCGGCAGCUCUAGUGGUAGCUGUUUUUAUUGGGCCUAAAGCGUUCGUAGCCGGUUUGAUAAGUCACUGGUGAAAUCCUGUAGCUUAACUGUGGGAAUUGCUGGUGAUACUGUUGAACUUGAGGUCGGGAGAGGUUAGCGGUACUCCCAGGGUAGAGGUGAAAUUCUGUAAUCCUGGGAGGACCACCUGUGGCGAAGGCGGCUAACUGGAACGAACCUGACGGUGAGGGACGAAAGCUAGGGGCGCGAACCGGAUUAGAUACCCGGGUAGUCCUAACUGUAAACGAUGCGGACUUGGUGUUGGGGUGGCUUUGAGCUGCUUCAGUGCCGAAGGGAAGCUGUUAAGUCCGCCGCCUGGGAAGUACGGUCGCAAGACUGAAACUUAAAGGAAUU